CACGUAGGAGGCGAGCGUUGUCCGGAAUCAUUGGGCGUAAAGCGUGCGCAGGCGGUUAUGUAAGACAGAUGUGAAAUGCCCGGGCUCAACCUGGGAACUGCAUUUGUGACUGCAUGGCUAGAGUUUGGCAGAGGGGGGUAGAAUUCCACGUGUAGCAGUGAAAUGCGUAGAUAUGUGGAGGAAUACCGAUGGCGAAGGCAGCCCCCUGGGUCAAGACUGACGCUCAUGCACGAAAGCGUGGGGAGCAAACAGG
rnacentral:rRNA from 1 species